CCUACGGGAGGCAGCAGUAGGGAAUCUUUCACAAUGGGCGAAAGCCUGAUGGAGCAACGCCGCGUGCAGGAUGAAGGCCUUCGGGUUGUAAACUGCUUUUAUAAGCGAGAAAUAUGAUGGUAACUUAUGACUAAGGCUCGGCUAACUACGUGCCAGCAGCCGCGGUCAUACGUAGGAUCCGAGCAUUAUCCGGAGUGACUGGGUGUAAAGAGUUGCGUAGGUGGCUUAAUCAGUAGAUAGUGAAAUCUGGUGGCUCAACUAUUCAGACUAUUAGCGAAACUGUUAAGCUCGAGAACGUUAGGGGUAACUGGAAUUUCUGGUGUAGGAGUGAAAUCCGUAGAUAUUAGAAGGAACACCAAUAGCGUAGGCAGGUUACUGGGACGGUUCUGACACUAAGGCACGAAAGCGUAGGGAGCAAACGGGAUUAGAUACCCGAGUAGUC
rnacentral:rRNA from 1 species